UGAGGAAUAUUGGUCAAUGGGCGAGAGCCUGAACCAGCCAAGUAGCGUGCAGGAUGACGGCCCUAUGGGUUGUAAACUGCUUUUAUAUGGGAAUAAAGUGAGGGACGUGUCCCUUAUUGCAUGUACCAUAUGAAUAAGGACCGGCUAAUCCCGUGCCAGCAGCCGCGGUAAUACGGAAGGUCCAGGCGUUAUCCGGAUUUAUUGGGUUUAAAGGGAGCGUAGGCUGUUUGUUAAGCGUGUUGUGAAAUGUAAGAGCUCAACUUUUAGAUUGCAGCGCGAACUGGCAGACUUGAGUGCGCACAACGUAGGCGGAAUUCAUGGUGUAGCGAUGAAAUGCUUAGAUAUCAUGACGAACUCCGAUUGCGAAGGCAGCUUACGGGAGCGCAACUGACGCUAAAGCUCGAAGGUGCGGGUAUCGAACAGG
rnacentral:rRNA from 1 species